rnacentral:lncRNA from 1 species
GGGACUCUAAUAACCCAAGAUCCUCAACUCCCACUAUGGAAGCAUGCGCCCCUGGCUGAAGACCCUACUGUAGGAAGCUGCCGGUAGGACUUCAGUGAGCAGUAGCCUCAGGUGAAUAGGGUGGGAAGGCAAGUCAAUGUUCCUGAGAAUUUGGGGCAACCAUUAUCUUCUUUUUGACAAGUGCAAACUGGCUCAAGCAGAGGGCUCAAAUACCCCAUCGG